AAAAAAGUAAAUAAGGGCACAUGGGGGAUGCCUAGGCUCUCGAAGGCGAAGAAGGACGUGAUAAGCUGCGAAAAGCUUGGGGGAGGAGCAAAUAUCCAUUAUAUCCCAAGAUCUCCGAAUGGGGCAACCCGGCGGUUGAAGAAACCGUCAUCUGGUCUAACCAGAAGCAAACGUGGGGAACUGAAACAUCUAAGUACCCAUAGGAAAAGAAAACAAAAGUGAUUCCCAGAGUAGUGGCGAGCGAAAUGGGAUUAGCCCAAACCAAUAAUGUUUCGGCAUUAUUGGGGUUGUAGGACUGCGUCGUGGCAAGAAGUUAGAGUAGUAGAACGAUUUGGAAAGAUCGAUCACAGAGGGUGAUAAUCCCGUAUACGAAACCCUAACCAAGCCUAGCAGACUCCUGAGUAGUGCGGGACACGAGAAAUCCUGUAUGAAUCCACCGGGACCAUCCGGUAAGGCUAAAUACUUCCGAGAGACCGAUAGUGAACCAGUACCGUGAGGGAAAGGUGAAAAGAACCUCGAACAGAGGAGUGAAAUAGACCCUGAAACCAUGUGCCUACAAGCGGUCGGAGCCAGUAAUGGUGACGGCGUGCCUUUUGCAUAAUGAACCUACGAGUUACUCUCAUUGGCAAGGUUAAGUACUAUAAGGUACGCAGCCGAAGCGAAAGCAAGUCUUAACAGGGCGCUUAGUCAAUGGGAGUAGACGCGAAACCAAGUGAUCUACCCUUGAGCAGGUUGAAGGUUGGGUAACACCAAUUGGAGGACCGAACCGGUAAGCGUUGAAAAGCUUUCGGAUGACUUGAGGGUAGGGGUGAAAGGCUAAUCAAACUUGGAGAUAGCUCGUACUCCCCGAAAUGCAUUUAGGUGCAGCCUCGGCUUAUAACUUAUGUCAGGUAGAGCUACUGAUUGGAUGCGAGGGCUUCGCCGCCUAUCAAGUCCAGAUAAACUCCGAAUGGGCAUAAGUUUUUACCGGGAGUGAGGGCAUGGGUGCUAAGGUCCAUGUCCGAGAGGGAAAGAACCCAGACCAU
rnacentral:rRNA from 1 species